GAUGAACGCUGGCGGCGUGCCUAAUACAUGCAAGUCGAGCGAACAGACGAGGACCUUGCCCCUCUGACGUUCGCGCCGGACGGGUGUGUAAAACGUGGAUAACCUACCUCUAAGACUGGGAUAACUUCGGGAAACCGGAGCUCAUACCGGCCAAUAUAUCGAACCGCAUGGUUCAAUAGUGAAAGACGGUUUUGCUGUUACUUAAAGCUGGAUCCGCGCCGAAUUAGCUAGUUGGUAAGGGAACGGCUUACCAAGGCAACGAUGCGUAGCCGACCGGAUAGGGUGGUCGGCCACACUGGAACGGAGACGCGGCACAGACUCGUACAGGAGGGAGCGGUAGAGAAUCUUCCGCAAGGGGCGAAAGCCUGACGGGGCAACGCCGCGGGAGGUGAGAAGGACUUCGGAUCGGAAAAGGCUGUUAAUAGGAAAAGAGAAAAGUAUAAGUAACUAUGCACUUCUUGACGGUACCUGAUCAGAAAGCCACGGCUAACUACGUG
rnacentral:rRNA from 1 species